rnacentral:rRNA from 1 species
UUCCUACGGGGCGCAGCAGUAGGGAAUCUUCCACAAUGGACGAAAGUCUGAUGGAGCAACGCCGCGUGAGUGAAGAAGGGUUUCGGCUCGUAAAGCUCUGUUGGUAGUGAAGAAAGAUAGAGGUAGUAACUGGCCUUUAUUUGACGGUAAUUACUUAGAAAGUCACGGCUAACUACGUGCCAGCAGCCGCGGUAAUACGUAGGUGGCGAGCGUUGUCCGGAUUUAUUGGGCGUAAAGCGAGUGCAGGCGG